rnacentral:rRNA from 1 species
GAUGAACGCUAGCGGCAGGCUUAAUUCAUGCAAGUCGAGGGGCAGCAGGACUGUAGCAAUACAGUUGCUGGCGACCGGCAGACGGGUGCGGAACACGUACGCAACCUUCCUUUAAGUGAGGGAUAGCCCAGGGAAACUUGGAUUAAUACCUCGUAAUAUUUGAGAGUGGCAUCACUUUCUAAUUAUAGCUCCGGCGCUUAAAGAUGGGCGUGCGACUGAUUAGGUAGUUGGCGGGGUAACGGCCCACCAAGCCUGCGAUCAGUAACUGGUGUGAGAGCACGACCAGUCACACGGGCACUGAGACACGGGCCCGACUCCUACGGGAGGCAGCAGUAAGGAAUAUUGGUCAAUGGACGCAAGUCUGAACCAGCCAUGCCGCGUGGAGGAUGAAGGUCCUCUGGAUUGUAAACUUCUUUUAUCUGGGAAGAAACCCAUAAUACCUUGCUGUUUUGACGUUACCGACAGAAUAAGCACCGGCUAACUCUGUGCCAGCCGCCGCAGUAACAC